AUUCGCUUGAAAUUGCAUCGCGUAACAUUUGUUCUCCGUAUCGUCCGAAGAUGAAUGUCAUGCUGCAUUUUGGAGUUUUACUUUUUCUUGUUGCAUUUGUCUUCAAUCCCUGUGCUCGGGUUGGAGCGUACACCAUCCCAGAGAUGCCCACUGAAGUCGUAGAUGGAAAAUGCGUUUACGAAGGCCGGACGCUGGGGCACUAUGACUGGACUCCGAUGGAUCGCCCUACCUGUGGAUCCUUCGUAUGCGAUGCGGAAGCUCAACAUGUCCUCGAGUACUACUGCGAUGUAGACCCGGAACCUCGUGAGGGAUGCAGGGUUGUCCCUGGAAACCCUGAUGCAGAAUAUCCAGGUUGCUGCACUCAGGAGGAAUGUCCUUAAAUAAAUGAGCAUUACAACACCUGAA